rnacentral:rRNA from 1 species
UGUCGGGUCUUAACGGACUUGGUAACGCAGCUAACGCGUGAAGUUGACCGCCUGGGGAGUACGGUCGCAAGAUUAAAACUCAAAGGAAUUGACGGGGGCCCGCACAAGCGGUGGAUUAUGUGGAUUAAUUCGAUGCAACGCGAAAAACCUUACCUACCCUUGACAUGUGCCGAAGCCCGCUGAGAGGUGGGUGUGCCCGAAAGGGAGCGGCAACACAGGUGCUGCAUGGCUGUCGUCAGCUCGUGUCGGGAGAUGUUGGGUUAAGUCCCGCAACGAGCGCAACCCUUGUCAUUAAUUGCCAUCAUUCAGUUGGGCACUUUAAUGAAACUGCCGGUGACAAACCGGAGGAAGGUGGGGAUGACGUCAAGUCCUCAUGGCCCUUAUGGGUAGGGCUUCACACGUAAUACAGUGGCGCGUACAGAGGGUUGCCAACCCGCGAGGGGGAGCUAAUCUCAGAAAGCGCGUCGUAGUCCGGAUCGGAGUCCGCAACUCGACUCCGUGAAGUCGGAAUCGCUAGUAAUCGCGGAUCAGCAU